rnacentral:tRNA from 1 species
AGGUGUGGCCCAGUUUGGUUAAGGCGCGUGGUUUGGGACCACGAGACCGCAGGUUCGAAUCCUGUCACCU